rnacentral:tmRNA from 1 species
GGGGAUGACACGGCUUCGACGUGUAGUCAACGUGCAGCGGGCUGUCUUGCCGAGCUUCCUGGUAUGCUCGUAAAUCUUGUCAGGAACUAGUAAAUGCGGACGAUUAUUCGUACGCGAUGGCGGCGUAAAAGCCCCCAUCUGUCCUGCGUCGCUCCUGACCCUUGGGGAGCGUAGGACAUCGACAAAAAGGGUGUAGUCGCUCCAUUCUCUGGCUGCGGAUGGAUCGGUGAAUCUUAACCAGCUGUAGCGUUGUCCUGGCCUCGUGGACGGGCAGACGGACAGCGUGAACUGCCAAUGCAUCCACUACGCAAGUAGAGGCUCGGACUGUACGGCUACGCGGACCCGGGUUCGACUCCCGGCAUCUCCACUC